ACAGGCAGGGGGAUGGGGAGUAUUGGCUCUGAGUCUCCAUUCUAGCAGCAGUGACUGCCGUGUCACAGACAUGUGCCAAGCCCUUCCCAAGUUCCUGGGUGCUCACUGGUUUUUAUGCCCUUUACAUUUAUUGGACAGGAGCACCAUCCGCAGAACUUUCUGCCAUGAUGGAAACACUGUGUGUCUGCAGGAUAGCCACGUUCCACUACUGAGCAUUUGAAAUGUGCCUACUGCAACUGAGGAACUGAUUUUUAAUUUUUGUUUAAUAUGCAUAUGAAAUGUGCCUUUGAAUAGCCACACAAGCUGCCGCAUUAGACAGCACAAGAAUGGUGGGUGAAAGUUCAGGAUGUCUAGCCAGUCUGUCCAGGUUCAGAUCCUGUUUCUUCCAGUACCAGGCAAUGUGAGGUGGGCAGUCCCUUCUCUGUGCUUCACUUUCCUUAUCUGUAAUGUGAGGAAACAGCCCUUGGCUCUGGAAUCUGAACGGACUGGCCUCCUAACUGCUCUUUACUAGCUGUGUGGCCCUGGAACCUUCAUCUUUUGGAGCCUUGGUUUCCUUGCCUGUAAAAUGGACAACUUGUAGAGGAGGGAGCAAGAUCCCGAGAUUAAAAAUAAAUCCUCAUCGUCACUGUUGAAACCACACAAAGACAUGCGGAGAAAAAGCUGAUGUCUCUGCUCAGAUGUCCCUGACACCAAGAGGCCACCCUCCACCUUGUACAAGAACACGCACCCCCAACCCUCCUCUAUCCCGGGUUCAGCCAAUCCAGCUAAUUCUAGCUGCUGCUGCUUUUUGUAAAUAAAGUUUUAUUGGCACAGC